UACGUAGGGUGCAAGCGUUGUCCGGAAUUAUUGGGCGUAAAGAGCUCGUAGGCGGUUUGUUGCGUCGGCUGUGAAAACCUGAGGCUCAACCUCAGGCCUGCAGUCGAUACGAGCAGACUAGAGUGUUGCAGGGGAGACUGGAAUUCCUGGUGUAGCGGUGGAAUGCGCAGAUAUCAGGAGGAACACCGAUGGCGAAGGCAGAUCUCUGGGCCGUAACUGACGCUGAGGAGCGAAAGCAUGGGGAGCGAACAGG
rnacentral:rRNA from 1 species